GUCCAAAUUGCUCGAUAGUGACUCGUGUCUGCCCUUGUGCAAAUUAUCAACUCCAAUCUUAAUUUUAAUCUCGGUAUUUUUAUUUUAUUUUAUUUAUUUAUUUAUUUAUUUUUUUUUUUGUGAUUUUCUGUAUUCUAAAGCAAGUGGAUAAUCAUAUCGACAGUUUUUAUGUUUUCAGGGGCUCUUGAUAAGUUGGGACUUGUUGCAUGUGACAUUUUGCUCUCUUUUCCUGCCACUGGCUCUAUGAUAGAAACAAUACAUAUAUUCUGGAUUGUAAGGACCCACUUUGGUUGGUCAUGGACAACAAUAAUCUCCAACAACAAUGAGUGAGCUGUUCUAUGUAUUCUGAGCCACAAUCUUUUGUCAUCCAGCAGAAUUUUUGCUUUUGGUGGUUGCUGCCCGAGUCUCACGCCCAAAUCCCUUCCUGAAAAUCUUAAAGAAUUUCUAUCCAAGAUUUAAGCUCACGAAAUCUUCACCAUGAGAGAGUCUGCAUGUACAGAAAAUGGAUUUACAGAACUUCUACAAAAUACACACUACAUGGGGGAUGGGUGGUUUUUUUGGACAAUAUUUUAAACACGUGAAGCCCACCCCCAUGCGAGCAUCUGUAGCAAUUCUAUGAAUGCAUUUGCUGUACAAAUGGUUUAAACCUCUUCUACAUAAUCUUUGUUUUCCACACUCUUGAAUCCCUAAUUUUGUGGUAUCUGAGAUCACAACCGUUUGAUUGAAAGAAACCGC
rnacentral:lncRNA from 1 species